AGAACGAACGCUGGCGGCGUGGAUAAGACAUGCAAGUCGAACGCGACUUAUCAGGUUAGCAAUAACUCGGUAAGUUGAGUGGCGAAAGGGUGCGUAACACGUGGGAAUUUACCAAGAAGUGGGGAAUAGCUCGACGAAAGUCGAAUUAAUACCGCAUACGAUCGAAAGAUCAAAGCCGGGGACCGCAAGGCCUGGCGCUUUUUGAGAAGCCCGCGGCCCAUCAGCUAGUUGGCGGGGUAAAAGCCCACCAAGGCUAUGACGGGUAGCUGGUCUGAGAGGACGACCAGCCACACUGGAACUGAGACACGGUCCAGACACCUACGGGUGGCAGCAGUCGAGAAUUUUUUCACAAUGGACGAAAGUCUGAUGGAGCGACGCCGCGUGGAGGAUGAAGGUUCUUGGAUUGUAAACUCCUGUCACUGCAGACAAGGAUACGUGUGUGAACAGCACGCGUAUUU
rnacentral:rRNA from 1 species